rnacentral:snoRNA from 1 species
GAAAAUGAUGAGAUAUUUUGGAAUCUCGUUCGUCUGAACUGCUGUUGAGAAAUGGAAUAUCUGACUUCA